GAUGAACGCUAGCUACAGGCUUAACACAUGCAAGUCGAGGGGUAACGAGAGGAAGGCUUGCUCUCCUUGUUGACGACCGGCGCACGGGUGAGUAACGCGUAUCCAACCUGCCCCCAACUAGGGAAUAACCUUGCGAAAGUAAGACUAAUACCCUAUACUUUCCUCAGAUGUCAUCUGACGAGGAAUAAAGAUUUAUCGGUUGUGGAUGGGGAUGCGUCUGAUUAGCUUGUUGGCGGGGUAACGGCCCACCAAGGCAACGAUCAGUAGGGGUUCUGAGAGGAAGGUCCCCCACAUUGGAACUGAGACACGGUCCAAACUCCUACGGGAGGCAGCAGUGAGGAAUAUUGGUCAAUGGGCGGAAGCCUGAACCAGCCAAGUAGCGUGCAGGAUGACGGCCCUAUGGGUUGUAAACUGCUUUUAUACAGGAAUAAAGUUAGCCACGUGUGGUUAUUUGUAGGUACUGUAUGAAUAAGGACCGGCUAAUUCCGUGCCAGCCGCCGCAGUAA
rnacentral:rRNA from 1 species